UGCCUAACACAUGCAAGUCGAGCGGGGACAUACGACGGAGCAGAAGUUUCGGAUGGAAGCGAAGAUGUAUGUUCUAGCGGCGGACGGGUGAGUAACGCGUGAGCAACCUGUCCUUCACAGGGGGAUAACACAGCGAAAGUUGUACUAAUACCGCAUAAGACCACAUUGGGACAUCCCAGAGGGGUCAAAGGAGCAAUCCGGUGAAGGGUGGGCUCGCGUCCGAUUAGAUAGUUGGUGAGGUAACGGCCCACCAAGUCGACGAUCGGUAGCCGACCUGAGAGGGUGAUCGGCCACAUUGGGACUGAGACACGGCCCAAACUCCUACGGGAGGCAGCAGUGGGGAAUAUUGGGCAAUGGGGGAAACCCUGACCCAGCAACGCCGCGUGAGGGAAGAAGGUUUUCGGAUCGUAAACCUCUGUCCUUGGUGAAGAGUGAGAGACGGUAGCCAAGGAGGAAGCCCCGGCUAACUACGUGCCAGCCGCAGC
rnacentral:rRNA from 1 species